CCUACGGGUGGCUGCAGUGGGGAAUAUUGCACAAUGGGGGAAACCCUGAUGCAGCAACGCCGCGUGAGUGAUGACGGCCUUCGGGGUGUAAAGCUCUGUCUUCAGGGACGAUAAUGACAGUACCUGAGGAGAAAGCCACGGCUAACUACGUGCCAGCAGCCGCGGUAAUACGUAGGUGGAGAGCGUUGUCCGGAUUUACUGUGCUUAAGGGGAGCGUAGGAGGGCUUUUAAGUGAGAUGUGAAAUACUCGGGCUCAACUUUGGUGCGUCAUUUCAAACUGGAAGUCUAUAGUGCAGGAGAGGAGAACUGAAUUCCUAGUGUAGCGGUGAAAUGCGUAGAGAUUAGGAAGAACACCAGUGGCGAAGGCGAUUCUCUGGACUGUAACUGACGCUGAGGCUCGAAAGCGUGGGGAGCAAACAGGAUUAGAUACCCGAGUAGUC
rnacentral:rRNA from 1 species